rnacentral:rRNA from 1 species
UACGUAGGUGGCAAGCGUUGUCCGGAUUUAUUGGGUUUAAAGGGUGCGUAGGCGGUUUCUUAAGUCCGUGGUGAAAUACGGCAGCUCAACUGUCGAGGUGCCAUUGAUACUGGGAAACUUGAGUACUGAUGAGGUAGGCGGAAUGGACGGUGUAGCGGUGAAAUGCUUAGAGAUCGGCCAGAACACCGAUAGCGAAGGCAGCUUACUAAGGAGUAACUGACGCUGAGGCACGAAAGUGUGGGGAGCAAACAGG